UACGGAGGGUGCGAGCGUUGUCCGGAAUCACUGGGCGUAAAGGGCGCGUAGGUGGCUCGUGAAGCGUGCGGUGAAAGUCCGAGGCUCAACUCCGGGUCGGCCGUGCGGACGGGGGAGCUAGAGUCUGGUAGAGGCUGAUGGAAUUCCGGGUGUAGCGGUGGAAUGCGUAGAGAUCCGGAAGAACACCGGUGGCGAAGGCGGUCAGCUGGGCUAACACUGACGCUCAGGCACGAAAGCGUGGGGAGCAAACAGG
rnacentral:rRNA from 1 species